UUUUUACAGAAAUCAAACUUUCAGAGGAAGAAACAUCACCAUAUGUUGGCCAAAGCUCUGUCCGUCCAUGGUGAAAAAACUGAUGUUGUUUUUACAGUGAUGAUCAUUUAAUGAAGUGAUGACCAGCCAAGCUACAGUUCUCAAAAUGCCAUUAAAAUGCACACAAUGACUGCCACAAUGAUAGAGAAUUGGUCUCUCCAACCAUUACCGGCCAAGUUAACUCAGGAAACCGGCCAAGUUAACUCAAGUCAGCUCAGGAAACCACACUAUACUCAAAACAUUUCAGGGACUGAUUCAUUCUUUCAAACUUAUGGUUGUACCCUUUUGAUUGCAAUUGUCUUUUGGGAUGCGGUUUGGUGUAGUGCAGAAAUGGAUCUUCAGCUAAUGAACUUCUAGACAUUGACUAUGUUUACAUGGACAUCAGUAAUCAAAUUGUUUGCUUUAAUCUGAAUAUGAGAAUAAUAUGAUUAAGGUGUUUACUAGGGCUGCAGGAUAUUAGAAAAAUCUGAUAUUGCGAUGUUUUAUUUUUCUGCUAUUAAAUAUUGUGAUUAUGAAUACAAUUUCACGAGAUGAAUAGCUCUGUUUGGCAGUUUUCUGGGGACUUGAAUAUUAUUUAGGUACAAUACAAACAAUACAAAAAAUGCUUUUUUAACUUUGUAUGGUCUUGUUUCCUAAUAUUGCUUUAUUCUCACCUUCAGAAGAAAUAACUCAAUUUAAAGUUUUUCCUUAAAACAAACUAAAUGAUCUGCCACUAGGGCAAAUAAAAUAAUUUUGUUUAGAAACAAGACAAAAAUUCAAAUUUUAGCAUAAAUUGUAUAAAUACUUAUGCAUAAUUAUUGGUUACACCACAAACAUCAUAUUUUUAACUCUUGAAAUGCUUACUCACAGGCCUUAAAAACACAUGCAAAUGAUAAACCUUCACUCUAUUAUGGUUAAACUUUGCAGUGACUCUACAAACCGCAUGUUCUGUAGCUCGUUUUCAACAAGAAUUCAGACUCAACAUUGCGUAUCUUGCGAUGUGACUAUUACAGAUCUGCACAUUGCGAUAUAGAUGCUGAAACGAUAUAUUGUGCAGCCCUAGUGUUUUACGGGAGUUCUCUUUUGAAUAUUCUUUUCUUGUUUGCAUUUUUAAAUAGUACAUAGUUUGAGGUUACCAUUAUGUCACAAUUUAACUCUAGUUUCCUUCGACAUUUCACGCAACAACAGUUCGUUUUUGUGAUGGCACCAUAUGUGAUUUUGGCAGUUUUUUAAAUUUCCGUCUGCCAUUUCUGUCAUUAACUUUUCAUUUAUGCCUCCUUUGGCAAACUCAGAGGGACUUAAUGGGAGUACGCAGUAAGGACUGAUGGGAGAAUU